UAUUCUUCGAUUAUGUCUAUCUGAAAUAUAAGGAACAUCAUGCUUUUGGAAUGUACACAUUUUUUAAACCAAAUUUGAUAAUAGCCGAUCUCGAUCUUAUACGAACGGUGAUGACAAAGGAAUUCAAAUCUUUUCAUGAUCGUGGGAUGUUCUGUAACGAAAAGAUUGAUCCAUUAACCGGCAAUUUAUUUCUUAUGCCUGGAAAAAGAUGGCCAAAUAUGCGCGCUAAGUUGACACCCACAUUUACUUCAGGUAAAAUGAAGCAAAUGUUUGCUAUAUUGAAAGAGUGUGGUGAUGAACUCGCAAAGCAUCUGGAGAAUAAUGCUCAAACAAGAGAUACCAUCGAAAUUAAAGAUAUAUUAGCAAGGUAUGAGAUUUGGAUAUUUACAAACAAAAAUUGGGCUCGUGAGUCUUCUGUUGAAAUAUAAGUUUAAACUUCAUUCUUGGACCCCGGUACCGCUUACUUACAGUGAAAGAUCUCCGUCUCUCGAACCGAAAACUGGUGUGCAUCUUAUCAUCGAGAAACGAUAAAAUUAUUUUCUUCUUGAUUAAAAAUAUCAUGUUGAGCUAAUUCGUAAAAACGAAUGUUGCCGCGGAUGAGUUUCGAAACCAGCUACGAAGAAGGCAAAACCUUGCGCAGUAGCUUCUACCAUGAAGCUUUAAGAUUAUAUCCAUCUCUCCCAAUUUUCAAUCGAAUCUGCACUGAGGAAAUAGACUUGCCGAUUGUAAACAUUCGCGUGCCAAAAGGAACGUUAAUAACAAUACCAUUGCUUGGGCUACAUCGAGAUCCGUCAAUAUAUUCGGACCCAAAUAAAUUUGAUCCUGAACGCUUCAACGACGACGAAAUAAAUAAAAAGGCAUCCUUACGCUUAUAUGCCAUUCGGGGAAGGUCCCCGAAAUUGCAUUGGUAUGAGAUUUGGCUAUUUACAAACAAAUAUUGGGCUUGUGAGUCUUCUGUUAAAAUAUAAGUUUAAACUUCAUUCUUGGACUCCGGUACCGCUUACUUACAGUGAAAGAUCUCCGUCUCUCGAACCGAAAACUGGUGCGCAUCUUAUCAUCGAGAAACGAUAAAAUUAUUUUCUUCUUGAUUAAAAAUUAUCUCUUCUCAUUUAUAUAAUACGAAGAAUGUAAACAUGCACAUGUCAAAAGUAAAGAUCGGACAAUAAAUUGAAUUUAUUUAAUAUAUUCUACUAUUUUGCGUUACUAACUUUUCUUAUUACUAUUUUUUACUAAUACGGUUCAUUUCUUGUUAAUACUGCAUAAUGUAUUAUAACUAAAAUUAUUAAUAAUUAUAUAUAUUAAACAAAACAUGUAUUCUUCUUCCAUUAAAGAAUGCGUUCUUUCA